rnacentral:rRNA from 1 species
CCUACGGGCGGCAGCAGUGGGGAAUAUUGGACAAUGGGCGAAACCCUGACCCAGCAACGCCGCGUGAGGGAAGAAGGAACUCGGGUUGUAAACUUCUUUUAUCAGGGAAGAAACAAAUGACGGUACCUGAUGAAUAAGCCACGGCUAACUACGUGCCAGCAGCCGCGGUAAUACGUAGGUGGCAAGCGUUAUCCGGAUUUACUGGGUGGAAAGGGGGUGUCGGCGGGAGUGUAAGUCAGAAGUGACAUUCCAGGGCUCAACCCUGGAACUGCGUUUGAAACUGUUCGGCUUGAGUGAUGGAGAGGCAAGCGGAAUUCCGGGUGUAGCGGUGAAAUGCGUAGAUAUACGGAGGAACACCAGUGGCGAAGGCGGCUUGCUGGACUGUAACUGACGCUGAGGCUCGAAAGCGUGGGGAGCAAACAGGAUUAGAUACCCUUGUAGUC